rnacentral:lncRNA from 1 species
CAUUGGUGUCGGCCUUGGAAGAGCCCCGUCGUCAUCGUCAGCGUGAUGAAGAUCUCCCAUCAUCAUCGUCAUCAUUGGAAGAGCCUUCCUCCUCAUCAUCAUCUUCAUCAUCAUCGGCGUUGGAAGAGCCCUUCGGCGGCAUCAACGUUUUGAAGAGCCC